rnacentral:rRNA from 1 species
AUUGAACGCUGGCGGCAUGCUUUACACAUGCAAGUCGAACGGUAACAGGCCGCAAGGUGCUGACGAGUGGCGAACGGGUGAGUAAUGCAUCGGAACGUGCCCAGUCGUGGGGGAUAACUGCUCGAAAGAGCAGCUAAUUCCGCAUACGAUCUAUGGAUGAAAGCGGGGGACCGUAAGGCCUCGCGCGAUUGGAGCGGCCGAUGUCAGAUUAGGUAGUUGGUGGGGUAAAGGCUCACCAAGCCAACGAUCUGUAGCUGGUCUGAGAGGACGACCAGCCACCCUGGGAUUGAGAACCGGCCCAGACUCCUACGGGAGGCAGCAGUGGGGAAUUUUGGACAAUGGGGGCAACCCUGAUCCAGCAAUGCCGCGUGCAGGAAGAAGGCCUUCGGGUUGUAAACUGCUUUUGUACGGAACGAAACGGUCUGGGUUAAUACCCUGGGCUAAUGACGGUACCGUAAGAAUAAGCACCGGCUAACUACGUGCCAGCAGCCGCCGUAACAC